ensembl:lncRNA
ACAAGGACUCACAUUCAAAACUCGCUCUUUGGCAUAUUGACACUUGAGUUAUCAACAACUCUUAUUAUCUGCUGGGAGGGAGCUGGCAGCUCCUGGGGACAGAAGGAGCCACAAACCCCGCCACAGCCGCCCCUCUGCAUUCUCUUAAUUGUGUGUAUUCUCUGGAAAAAGUGAUCAUCGCAGCCUCUUGUCUUGAUGAGAAAUUGACAUUUUCUGAGGACUUCUCUGGGUGCCGGGCGGGGAGAUAAGGCCAGGGCUGUUUUGGGGGAGGGUGGGCGCCCCUCCUUUCAGGGGCCUCUUUAUUGCCCCCGUUGACCCGCUUGAUGAGUAUGGAUUUCAUGAGGUCUUUUUCAGCAUUUGAACUAUAAAAGGUUCAGAACGACACCACCCCUUAUAGACAAAAGAUAACCUUGCCCUUUGAAUAUAUCGAUUCUUUAUUAACUAGGCUGUUUAAUGCAAUGAAAUGAGGCAUUAGAUUGAAGCCCAUUUCAAGUGCUUUGAAUAAUCUUUAAAAGCUUGGAAGACCCUGGAAGGUGGCCUGACAAUAAUUGGCACACAUUUGGAGAGAAUGCAGUUCUCAAUUCGGAUUCAAAACACAAACAUAGAAUAAUUUCCCUCCCCGCUGGUCACAGGGCCCAGGCAAGCAGCUCAGAGAGGCAGCCCCUGCCACGCCCCUGAGCAGGCAUCGCUGGCACCGGCUCAGAGUGGGGAAGGAGGUGAGGUUGGUCCCCAGCACGCAGGGGAAUUGGGGGGGGGGGCGGGGGCUGGCUGCAGCCUUGUACCCCAUGAGCCUCUUUCUUCGCUGUCUCUUUAAGGCUGAAACGAGAAUGCAGUCAGGGAAACCUGAUUGUCAUUGACAGGAGAAAAAGGUAUUCACAAGUUUCUUUAUGUUUUGGAUAAUGAUUCCCUGUUUUGCUCGGCAGAACAAGUAAUUAAGAUGACAUUUGUGAGUACUAAUUUGGAUCACACUUAUGUGUAUGUGUUGGAGAGCUGCAAGCCAAAACAUGCAAAACCAGCCUUUCAUUGAGGAGCAAAUGAAAACUACAGAAUGAACCGGAGUGGUGCUGCUGAAAAGGCACAGGAGCUGAGCACAGCUGCAAAAAUCAGAGCCCCGGUGCUGAGGGCACAUCUCAUUAGAGCCCUGCCGUUGGCCACACCUCCGUGCGGCCCAGGGGCAGCCGCAGUGCAUGGGGUCUGUCACACCACGGCCGUGGACCUGCUGUUGGCGACGGUGUCCCUCAGGUCAGGGUUCAGUGGCACUGGUGUCCGGAGCCCUGGUGCCUGCCCGUCCGACCGGAGCUUUCUGAGCUGGAUCUUGUCCCGGUGGAGCACGGUGACAGGGACAGAGGAGCACAUGUCUGGAGUAGCCAGAAUGCUUGCCCUCUACCUGCCAGUCCUCCAGUUCAGAGGCAGGGGCUGAGGCAGGAGGGCCUGGAGCAGGGGCGGGGGUGACCAAGCCCCCAGCGAGUCUCAAGACUGUCUAUGGGCCACAGUGCUGCUGCUGUGGCCCCCAGGUCUGACCCCCAGUCGUGUUCUGAUGUGCCGGCGGGCGUGCAACACACGUACAGGUGGCCCCUCUGGGGACCAGAGGCAUCUGAGUAACUACAAGGAACUCUCCGUGCAGCUUAGAUGAGCGUUUGAGGGCAGAUAACCUUGGAGAAGGUUCUUCUAUGAACCGUUUUCAUCCUGGCCAAGAGAGCUCUGGGAGUGCAGAUCAACCCCACCCACCCGGCCAAUGUAACUGUUGCGUCUUGAGCAAAGCCAUUUUAAUAAUCAAAACAGAUCAAAUUACCCAAAGUGAAAUUCACAGACAAGAAAUACUUUAAUUAAAUAUUGUGUAAAAUGAACAUUUUUAUAGUUAAAUAUCUGAAAAAAUGUACAGAUAAAACAAUCUUAUUGUAGGGUUUUUAACAGUAAAAUCUACCAUUUAGUGGAGCGCUCAGUUUUGAGACGAUGAAGCCAUGAGGGCGACUAAUUAAUCUAAAACACAAACCAAGUGCAGGGACAAGGAGACUUGCGAAUGUCCUUAACGUGUACACGUGAGCUCAUUUUUAGGUCAAACCCUUACUUAUACAAAAUAAAACGGAGGCAUCAGAGUUCCAGAGUGACUCCUCAGGCUGGUCGCAGGGCCAGAGUGUGACCCGCUAACCCCUGGGGACGUUCUGAUGCUUUGAUUUAGUCCCUUGAAUAGACACUUUCUUAAGUCCUGCGUUGUUUUGUUUUGGUUUCUGUCAAGAAAAAUUUUUUAAGUCCCUCCUCUUUGUUUUAGAUUUGAUUUCUGCUGCAGUUUGCAAACCGUUUGCUGUGCUGUGUCUGCAAAGGGAAAAAAGAAACGACCCUCUUGGUCUCACGGCAGGUUUGGCACUAACAGGUGCAGUGUCUGAAGGAGGUCAUUAUCCAGUUUAAAAAGUACAGACAGUGCUGCUGGGUUCUGACCACAAAAAACGUAUUGUUAAAAAGGAAUUUUAAACGAGGGGUGAUUGUGGGUCCCCUGAAACCUCUCUGAAUCAGAGGUGGGCUUGGGAGGACACAGCAGAACCAGAUGCGGAAAGGAGCGACACGGGGGUCUCCGGGCUUGUGCGUGUGCGUGUGUGUGUUUUACGCCGUAAAUCUCCACAUGAAAUACUGAGUAACAAUUGUGGGGUAAGCCUGUGAUCAAACAGCACAGAGGUUCUCUAGAGAAGUCCACUUUUAAGGCAUCAGAGAAGUUAAUGUGGCAGACAUUUUCAUUAAAACAUCAGAAGUAAAUUUUAUUUUAAACUUUAGGCCUCUGAAUUUUUCCAGUAAACACAGUUCAGCUAUGUGGCAAAGUCAUGGGUGGCAGCUAAAAUGACUUUUUACAUUCUAUUCUACAAAAAAAAUAAAAGGAGGACACAGCCCCAAACGGUGUCGCCUCUUCGUGGCCGCUCCACAUGCACGGAAUCUACGAGGGUUUGUCACAGCGGGUGGCCCCGUUUUGUUGUGACUGUACGACGAACUUUUUUUUUCUUCAAAAGUAUUUGUUCAGAUAACUUAAAAAUAAUAUAAAAAUAAACAAUGAAUUUGACUUUUCCUC